rnacentral:rRNA from 1 species
AAACUUUCAACAACGGAUCUCUUGGUUCUGGCAUCGAUGAAGAACGCAGCGAAAUGCGAUAAGUAAUGCGAAUUGCAGAAUUCCGUGAGUCAUCGAAUCUUUGAACGCA